GAUGAACGCUGGCGGCGUGCCUAAUACAUGCAAGUCGAGCGAACGGACGAGAAGCUUGCUUUUCUGAUGUUAGCGGCGGACGGGUGAGUAACACGUGGAUAACCUACCUAUAAGACUGGGAUAACUUCGGGAAACCGGAGCUAAUACCGGAUAAUAUAUUGAACCGCAUGGUUCAAUAGUGAAAGACGGUUUUGCUGUCACUUAUAGAUGGAUCCGCGCCGCAUUAGCUAGUUGGUAAGGUAACGGCUUACCGAGGCGACGAUGCGUAGCCGACCUGAGAGGGUGAUCGGCCACACUGGAACUGAGACACGGUCCAGACUCCUACGGGAGGCAGCAGUAGGGAAUCUUCCGCAAUGGGCGAAAGCCUGACGGAGCAACGCCGCGUGAGUGAUGAAGGUCUUCGGAUCGUAAAACUCUGUUAUUAGGGAAGAACAAAUGUGUAAGUAACUAUGCACGUCUUGACGGUACCUAAUCAGAAAGCCACGGCUAACUACGUG
rnacentral:rRNA from 1 species